rnacentral:rRNA from 1 species
AUGCGUAGGAAUCUACCUAGUAGUACGGAAUAGCCAUUAGAAAUGGUGGGUAAUACUGUAUAAUCCCCGAGGGGGAAAGAUUUAUCGCUAUUAGAUGAGCCUACGUUAGAUUAGCUAGUUGGUGAGGUAAUGGCUUACCAAGGCUAUGAUCUAUAGCUGGUCUGAGAGGACGAUCAGCCACACUGGAACUGAGAUACGGUCCAGACUCCUACGGGAGGCAGCAGUGGGGAAUAUUGGACAAUGGGCGAAAGCCUGAUCCAGCUAUGCCGCGUGAGUGAAGAAGGCCUUCGGGUU